UACGGAAGGGGCGAGCGUUGUUCGGAAUCACUGGGCGUAAAGGGUGCGUAGGCGGGUCUUUAAGUCAGGGGUGAAAUCCUGGAAGCUCAACUCCAGAACGUGCCUUUGAUACUGAAGAUCUUGAGUUCGGGAGAGGAGAGUGGAAUUCCCGAGUGUAGAGGUGAAAUUCGUAGAUAUUGGGAAGAACACCGGUGGCGAAGGCGGCUCACUGGCCCGGUACUGACGCUGAGGUGCGAAAGCGUGGGGAGCAAACAGG
rnacentral:rRNA from 1 species